UGGGGAAUAUUGGACAAUGGGGGCAACCCUGAUCCAGCAAUGCCGCGUGUGUGAAGAAGGUCUUCGGAUUGUAAAGCACUUUCGACGGGGACGAUGAUGACGGUACCCGUAGAAGAAGCCCCGGCUAACUUCGUGCCAGCAGCCGCGGUAAUACGAAGGGGGCUAGCGUUGCUCGGAAUGACUGGGCGUAAAGGGCGUGUAGGCGGUUUACACAGUCAGAUGUGAAAUCCCCGGGCUUAACCUGGGAGCUGCAUUUGAUACGUGUAGACUAGAGUGUGAGAGAGGGUUGUGGAAUUCCCAGUGUAGAGGUGAAAUUCGUAGAUAUUGGGAAGAACACCGGUGGCGAAGGCGGCAACCUGGCUCAUGACUGACGCUGAGGCGCGAAAGCGUGGGGAGCAAACAGGAUUAGAUACCCUGGUAGUCCACGCUGUAAAACGAUGUGUGCUAGAUGUUGGGUA
rnacentral:rRNA from 1 species